GGUGAACGCUGGCGGCGUGCUUAAGACAUGCAAGCCGAACGGCAGUCUUCGGACUGUAGUGGCGCACGGGUGAGUAACGCGUAACUGACCUACCCCAAAGUCGCGGAUAACGAUUCGAAAGAAUCGCUAAUACGUGAUGUGCUGUCAGAUUGUGUUCUGCCAGUAAAGAUUGAUUGCUUUGGGAUGGGGUUGCGUUCCAUCAGCUAGUUGGUGGGGUAAAGGCCCACCAAGGCGACGACGGAUAGCCGGCCUGAGAGGGUGGCCGGCCACAGGGGCACUGAGACACGGGUCCCACUCCUACGGGAGGCAGCAGUUAGGAAUCUUCCACAAGGGGCGAAAGCCUGAUGGAGCGACGCCGCGUGAGGGAUGAAGGUCUUCGGAUCGUAAACCUCUGAAUCAGGGACGAAAGACACUUCGGUGGGAUGACGGUACCUGAGUAAUAGCACCGGCUAACUCCGUGCCAGCAGCCGCAGUAAUAC
rnacentral:rRNA from 1 species